AGCUCCAAUAGCGUAUAUUAAAGUUGUUGCAGUUAAAAGCUCGUAGUUGGAUUUCUGGGAGGGUGCUAAUGCCCGCCGUAGCGCGCGCGCAGCAGCGCCCUUCCAUCCUUCUGUUAACGCCUCUUGGCAUUCAUUUGCUGGUGGCGGGCUCAGAUAUUUUACCUUGAGAAAAUUAGAGUGUUUCAGGCAGGCUAGGCCGGAAUAUAUUAGCAUGGAAUAAUGGAAUAGGACUAUGGUCUCUUUGUUGGUUUGAGGGACUGCAGUAAUGAUUAAUAGGGAUAGUUGGGGGCAUUAGUAUUUAAUUGUCAGAGGUGGAAUUCUCAGAUUUGUUAAAGACUAACUUAUGCGAAAGCAUUUGCCAAGGAUGUUUUCA
rnacentral:rRNA from 1 species